AGAGUCCGAUUUCUGCAACCACGCCUUUCCCAUCCCUUCCUUCUCUCCUCCCAUCACAAAUGUCAAGCUUCCCAGUGUCUCCAGAGAGAAGCCAACCUCCCUGGCACUUUUUCUGGUCAUCCUUGGAACCCCUCAGUGAAUGACAGCAUAUGACCUUGUUAAAUCUGCAAAAAUCUUUUCCUUCUAAAUAAGCAGCCUGAGGCCCGCACCAGAUGCAGCUGUCCCAGAAUCAGCUGAGCGAUCACCUGGAGGCCUCUUGUCCAGAACACUUGUGGUGAAAGAGCAGGCGGUUAUGACAGAGCACAAGCCACAGCUCCAACACUGGCCCUUCCUGCUGAAGCUGCCACCAUUUAAUGAAAGUCUCUGGCCUGGCAUGCCACUGCUGCUCCUGAAGCAAGGCCACCCCUCGUGCCUGAAACCCCUCGUUCAGCCCUGGGAGAGCUGGCCGCUGCCUCCUGAGCUGGCAGACCUCCGCGGAGCUGCAGGUCCCUGGCAGGGCAGACUUCGUUUCCUCCACUUCUGUCCUUCUAUUAGAAUCUCAUGCUCUGUGGCUCUAGAUGACUCUUUUGGAGGCAGUAGCCCCUAAAAGUGAGGGUCCUAAGGGUCCCUCCUACCCUUCCCUUCCCCCUGCUCCCCUACUGCCUCUGUGUAUUGUGGGGAAUAAACGCAGGAACGUGAAGCAUCACAGGGCACUUUGGGCUUGGAGGACCAAAUCACCCCUUGCCGACCUCAAAUCCUUGGAACACAAGGAUGAGACAGAAGAGUUGGGAAGAUCUUUCCCUCUUCCGCCCUUUUCUGUGGCUUCUCACUUCAUCAAUCCAGCAGUCCCUCCUAGGAAGGAGAUCACAUGGCUCGGUCUUCCUGGGAAGAUCACAUCCUGGUGCAGGGAGGAGUCCUCUAAGGAGAUGUGCUGUGUGGUCACUCGAUGCUGGCUCCCAAGCAUCGGCUGGUCCUGCUGUCUCCCCUGGAUGUCCUGACACAGACCCUCAGACGUGGCAGGGCCAGAUCCUGUGCUGAGCUCUCUGGAGACUUCCAAAGGGACAUCGAGAUUUAAUAAAAUUCUUCCUUUAAAGUUGUUUUCAA